GAAGCAGUCAUUUCUGCAAAAGGAUUCCCGACCAACUGUUUGGACUCUCAUUCUGACGGCACCCAUUCACCUCAGAGGAUCCAUUGGUGAGCAAAUGAUAAUGCUAAAUCUCUCCAAAUCUGUUCCGAUGAAGAAACAAACUCAUCUACAUCCUGGACAGCCUGAGGUGCCCGAGAGUGACAGCCAGCUGAACUACACACUUCUCCUUGACUGUUCCAGAUGGCUGGAAAAGCAGCUCGUACCCCACCACAAAACCACAAAUUAGAAUUAUGAACUGUUACAAAUUCAGUCAAGCAUCUGAAGGUCAGCUUUUCAAAUUCAACUCUACACAAGCUCAUAUGAGAGUAUGAGACUAUUAGCUCUAGUCCUCUAAACUGAGAAGAGUUCUAUGUUUAAGCCAG
ensembl:lncRNA